rnacentral:rRNA from 1 species
GGUCAAUUCUGGCCCAGAUUGAACGUUGUAGCGGAUGCUUUACACAUGCAAGUCGAACGGCAGCACGGACUUCGGUCUGGUAAGGAGUGGCGAACGGGGUGAGUAAUGUAUCGGAACGUGCCUAGUAGCGGGGGAUAAUCUGGCGAAAGCGUAGCUAAUACCGCAUACUGCCCUUCGGGGGAAAGCGGGGGACCUUCGGGCCUCGCACCAUUAGAGCGGCUGAUAUCGGAUUAGCUAGUUGCGGGGUAACGGCUCACUCAGGGGCGACGAUCCGUAGCUGGUUUGAGAGGACGACCAGCCACACUGGGACUGGAGACAUGGCCUCCAGACUCCUACGGAGGCAGCAGUGGGGAAAUUUUGGACAAUGGGGGAAACUCCUGAUCCAGCCAUCCUGCGUGUGCGAUGAAGGCCUUCGGGUUGUAAAGUACUUUUGGCAGGAAAGAAAUGCAAUGGGAUAUCACUCCCGUGCAACUGACGGUACCUGCAGAAGGGCGCACCGCCAACUACGCCAGCAGCCGCGUACGUAGGUGCAAGCGUUAAUCGGAAUUACUGGGCGUAAAGCGUGCGCAGGCGGCCUGGCAGAUGAAAUCCCAGAGCUUAACUUUGAACUGCAUUUUUUAACUGUAUCGAGCUAGAGUGUGUCAGAGGGAGGUGGAAUUCCGCGUGCAGAAAUGCGAUAUGCGGAGGAACACCUGAUGGCGAAGGCAGCCUCCUGGGAUAACACUGACGCUUCGCGCACGAAAGCGUGGGGAGCAAACAGGAUUAGAUACCCUGUAGUCCACGCCCUAAACGAUGUCAACUAGCUGUUGGGGCCUUUCAAGCCUUGGUAGCAGCUACUGGCAGGAAGUUGACCGCCUGGGAGUACGGUCGCAAGAUUAAAACCCAAAGGAAUUGACGGGGACCCGCACAAGCGGUGGAUGAUGGAUUAAUUGAUGCAACGCGAAAACCUUACCUACCCUUGACAUGUCUUUGGAAUCCCGAAGAGAUUUGGGAGUGCUCGCAGAGAACCGGAACACAGGUGCUACGGCUGUCGUCAAAGCUCGUGUCGAGAUGUUGGGUUAAGUCCCGCAACGAGCGCAACCUCUUUUGUCAUUAGUUGCUACGAAAGGGCACUCUAUCGAGACUGCUGCGACAAACUGGAGGAAGGUGGGAUGGAUGUCAAGUCCUCAUGGCCUCUGCGGGUAGGGCUUCACACGUCAUACAAUGGUCGGGACAGAGUGGCUUCGCCAACCCGCGAGGGGGAGCCAAUCCCGAAACCCGAUCGUGGUCCGGAUCGCAGUCUGCAACUCGACCAGGAAGUCGGAAUCGCUAGUGGGUAUCCAGAUCAGCAUGUCGCGGUGAAUACGUUCUGGUCUUGUACACACCGCCUGUCACACCAUGGGAGUGGGUUUCACCAGAAGUAGUUAGCUCAACCGUAAGGAGGGCGAUUACCACGGUAGAUUCAUGAUCAGUGUGAAGUCGUAACAAGGCAA